AUGGCUCAGGAUGAACGCUAGCGGCAGGCUUAACACAUGCAAGUCGAGGGGUAACAUUAGUGCUUGCACUAGAUGACGACCGGCGCACGGGUGCGUAACGCGUAUAGAAUCUACCUUUUACAGGGGGAUAGCCUUUAGAAAUGAAGAUUAAUAUCCCAUAGUAUUGCGAAGUGGCAUCACUUUGUAAUUAAAGAUUUAUCGGUAAAAGAUGACUAUGCGUCCUAUUAGUUAGUUGGUAAGGUAACGGCUUACCAAGACUUCGAUAGGUAGGGGUCCUGAGAGGGAGAUCCCCCACACUGGUACUGAGACACGGACCAGACUCCUACGGGAGGCAGCAGUGAGGAAUAUUGGGCAAUGGAGGUAACUCUGACCCAGCCAUGCCGCGUGCAGGAAGACUGCCCUAUGGGUUGUAAACUGCUUUUAUACAGGAAGAAACACUGCUACGUGUAGCAGCUUGACGGUACUGUAAGAAUAAGGACCGGCUAAC
rnacentral:rRNA from 1 species